UACCAGCUCUUCGAGUGGUGUGGAUGUUUAUUGGGCCUAAAGCAUCCGUAGCUGGCUGGGCAAGUCCCCUGUUAAAUCCACCGAUUUAAUCGUUGGAGUGCGGGGGAUACUGUUCGGCUAGGGGACGGGAGAGGCAGACGGUAUUUUCGGGGUAGGGGUGAAAUCCUAUAAUCCCGGGAAGACCACCAGUGGCGAAGGCUGUCUGCUAGAACGCGCCCGACGGUGAGGGAUGAAAGCUGGGGGAGCGAACCGGAUUAGAUACCCGGGUAGUCCCAGCUGUAAACGAUGCAGGCUAGGUGUUUGGGCGGCCACGUGCCGCUCUAGUGCCGCAAGGAAGCUGUUAAGCCUGCCGCCUGGGGAGUACGGCCGCAAGGCUGAAACUUAAAGGAAUUGGCGGGGAGCACCACAAGGGGUGAAGCUUGCGGUUU
rnacentral:rRNA from 1 species